UCCAGACUCCUACGGGAGGCAGCAGUGGGGGAUAUUGCACAAUGGGGGGAACCCUGAUGCAGCGACGCCGCGUGGGUGAAGGAGCGUUUCGGCGCGUAAAGCCCUAUCGGCAGGGAAGAAGGAGGACGGUACCUGACUAAGAAGCCCCGGCUAACUACGUGCCAGCAGCCGCGGUAAUACGUAGGGGGCAAGCGUUAUCCGGAUUUACUGGGUGUAAAGGGGGCGCAGACGGCAGCGCAAGCCAGGAGUGAAAGCCCGGGGCCCAACCCCGGGACUGCUCUUGGAACUGCGCGGCUGGAGUGCAGGAGGGGCAGGCGGAAUUCCUGGUGUAGCGGUGAAAUGCGUAGAUAUCAGGAGGAACACCAGUGGCGAAGGCGGCCUGCUGGACUGCGACUGACGUUGAGGCCCGAAAGCGUGGGGAGCAAACAGGAUUAGAUACCCUAGUA
rnacentral:rRNA from 1 species